GCGAAUUUGAUUCGAUAUGGGUGUCUGCGUUGAUCCCUCGCAUUAUCAAAUUUCGACUCAAUUGUCUUUCUAGGGCUUUUAGGGUUUGUGAUUAGGUGUUGCUAUGCGUUGAAAUCCCUCGCAGGUACUCCAACUGAUUGUCGAUAUUGGGUUACUCAAUUGUACUUCAAUAAUGGGUAAUCAGGUACUCCAACAGAUUUCUAUUUACAAGAGCUUUAGUUCUGCCAAUACAUGGUUGUAAUUUCUCAUGGUAUUGAUUUGAUAUCACACGGGUUUCAUCUUCAAAUCUGAUCUUUUCUGUGGUAAUUAUCCUUGUGUUGAAUAUAGAUAGCAGACGUGUUGAAUAUAUAUAGCAGAAAAUUAUUCUGACUGUGAGUUCCUGAUCUGCCUCUGAGGACACUGCCCAAGUAUGUUGUUAUUGUACAACCCAGAAAGUGUGCAUUCUGUGAUGUAAUUGACAUUACCUUUGGUUGUGAGGAGGUUGCAUAGAUCCCACAUGGAGGUGAGGGAAGAAACUUGGAAUUAAAGAAGAUGUCAAACUAGUCAUCCUCAACUUAGGUGGACAGGAAAAAUUGGAUAUGACGCUGUGAGUGAAGCCCUUGCAUUCAAGUUACCAUUUGUCUUUGUACGCAGAGAUUAUUUCAAUGAAGAACCUUUUUCUGGGAAAUAUGCUUGAGGUUCGUUUUAUCCUUUAUUUGUUGAGCACCAAAUUCUUUCUAUCCCCUAUUUUUCUGAAAUUUACAAUUUUGUGCACAUAGACAAAAUUUAUUUAACCUAACCUCUUUUG